AUUGAACGCUGGCGGCAGGCCUAACACAUGCAAGUCGAGCGGCAGCGGGAAAGUAGCUUGCUACUUUUGCCGGCGAGCGGCGGACGGGUGAGUAAUGCCUGGGAAAUUGCCCAGUCGAGGGGGAUAACAGUUGGAAACGACUGCUAAUACCGCAUACGCCCUACGGGGGAAAGCAGGGGACCUUCGGGCCUUGCGCGAUUGGAUAUGCCCAGGUGGGAUUAGCUAGUUGGUGAGGUAAUGGCUCAACAAGGCGUCGAUCCCUAGCUGGUCUGGGAGGAUGAUCAGCCACACUGGAACUGAGACACGGUCCAGACUCCUACGGGAGGCAGCAGUGGGGAAUAUUGCACAAUGGGGGAAACCCUGAUGCAGCCAUGCCGCGUGUGUGAAGAAGGCCUUCGGGUUGUAAAGCACUUUCAGCGAGGAGGAAAGGUUGAUGCCUAAUACAGAGGGCUAAUGACGGUACCGUAAGAAUAAGCACCGGCUAACUACGUGCCAGCAGCCGCCGUAAGAC
rnacentral:rRNA from 1 species